UGUCUUUAGAGGGGUGGAGGAAAGAAAGGACGGAAGGAAGAAAGUAAUGCCGGGUGGUGUGACGUCAAAUGUAUUGUCUCUGGUCAUAAUCGGUCGCGGUUGAUUUGAAUGCCAGCCAGUUGGUGUGUGAACUGCGAAGAACAGAGCUGGAACACUUCCUCCGAUUUCAAACAAAAUUACCCUUUCUAAUUUCGGAAAUCAAGUCAAAACUGCUGCCCAGCAGAAGAUGUUUGUCCCUUGAGCUCGCCCCAUGAGAUGUGAAAGAGAGACGAUGUUUGUCCCUUGAGCUCGCCCCAUGAGAUGUGAAAGAGAGACGAUGUUUGUCCCUUGAGCUCGCCCCAUCAGAUGUGAAAGCGAGACGAUGUUUGUCCCUUGAGCUCGCCCCAUCAGAUGUGAAAGCGAGACGAUGUUUGUCCCUUGAGCUCGCCCAAUCAGAUGUGAAAGCGAGACAGAGUGAUUAAAGUCUUCACAGUGACGAGGUGGCAGUGACCAGUUAAAAAAGGGCCAGAACGACUGACCCUGUCGAUGUACACAAGCCUCGAGGCCAGGGGAGACUAACUGCCUCCAACGACUGACCCCACUCGAUGGACACAAGCCUCGAGGCCAGGGGAGACCAACUGCCUCCAACGACUGACCCCACUUGUCGACUCGAUAUACACAAGCCUCGGGGCCAGAGGAGACCAACUGCCUCCAACGACUGACCCCACUCGAUGGACACAAGCUCUCGUGACAAGACCUCCUCAACCGAGAGUAUACUGAUAAAUCGAUCAGGAUGAAUCGGUGUAAUACGCUACAAAUCCAAGAUAUUGAAAGUCUUUGGUAUCAGUAGAACCAUAUCCAUUCAAAAACAAUAAAGGACUCUUUUUUCAGGGGAGCAUUCCAAACUGCUACACUUGGAUACGAAUUCUACCAAACUGGAGCGCCACCUGUUCCCACACUAAUUUCGGCACUGAGGCGAGUUUGUGUGCGAGUUUGACGGCUUUUGUUGGAAAUCUUUUUGUUAAACCGAUCAGGGUUAUUGGUGAUCAAGACACUAACUUAUUGAGUGAA